rnacentral:other from 1 species
AAUAGCCUGUUGUGUGCGUAGUCAAUUUAUGUCUUAAACCAAUGAGCAUAUUUAGGAAGACCGAUAUUUAAGUAACAACAUCAUGCCUUUUCGGAAGAUGAAAGUUACUUGUGAGGACAUCCACCUUGGAGUUCCGGUUUACUAAAGACAUAAAAGGGAUAACGGCAUUUACGGGAAAAAA